rnacentral:rRNA from 1 species
UACGUAGGGACCAAGCGUUGUUCGGAUUUACUGGGCGUAAAGGGCGCGUAGGCGGCGUGACAAGUCACUUGUGAAAUCUCCGGGCUUAACUCGGAACGGCCAAGUGAUACUGUCGUGCUAGAGUGCAGAAGGGCAAUCGGAAUUCUUGGUGUAGCGGUGAAAUGCGUAGAUAUCAAGAGGAACACCUGAGGUGAAGACGGGUUGCUGGGCUGACACUGGCGCUGAUGCGCGAAAGCCAGGGAGCGAACGGG